rnacentral:rRNA from 1 species
UACGAAGGGGGCGAGCGUUGUUCGGAGUUACUGGGCGUAAAGGGCGCGUAGGCGGCGAUCCAAGUUAGGCGUGAAAGCCCCGGGCUUAACCUGGGAAUUGCGCUUAAGACUGGACUGCUUGAGUGCGGGAGAGGUGAGUGGAAUUCCCAGUGUAGAGGUGAAAUUCGUAGAUAUUGGGAAGAACACCAGUGGCGAAGGCGGCUCACUGGCCCGCAACUGACGCUGAGGCGCGAAAGCUAGGGUAGCAAACGGG